rnacentral:piRNA from 1 species
GUGGUGAAAAAAAGUGACCCUAAGACCCA